rnacentral:rRNA from 1 species
ACGAACGCUGGCGGCGUGCCUAAUACAUGCCAGUAGAACGCACAGUUUAUACCGUAGCUUGCUACACCAUAAACUGUGAGUUGCGAACGGGUGAGUAACGCGUAGGUAACCUGCCUGGUAGCGGGGGAUAACUAUUGGAAACGAUAGCUAAUACCGCAUAAUAUUAAUUAUUGCAUGAUAAUUGAUUGAAAGAUGCAAUUGCAUCACUACCAGAUGGACCUGCGUUGUAUUAGCUAGUAGGUGAGGUAACGGCUCACCUAGGCGACGAUACAUAGCCGACCUGGGAGGGUGAUCGGCCCCACUGGGACUGGGACACGGCCCAGACUCCUACGGGAGGCAGCAGUAGGGAAUCUUCGGCAAUGGACGAAAGUCUGACCGAGCAACGCCGCGUGAGUGAAGAAGGUUUUCGGAUCGUAAAGCUCUGUUGUAAGAGAAGAACGGGUGUGAGAGUGGAAAGUUCACACUGUGACGGUAUCUUACCAGAAAGGGACGGCUAACUACGUG